UACGGAGGGUGCAAGCGUUGCUCGGAAUUAUUGGGCGUAAAGGGUAGGUAGGUGGUCUUAUUUGUCUGGGGUGAAAGCCUUGAGCUUAACUCAAGAAGUGCCCCAGAAACGGUGAGACUAGAGUCCUGGAGAGGGUCGUGGAAUUCCCAGUGUAGAGGUGAAAUUCGUAGAUAUUGGGAAGAACACCGGUGGCGAAGGCGGCGACCUGGUCCGAUACUGACGCUGAGGCGCGAAAGCGUGGGGAGCAAACAGG
rnacentral:rRNA from 1 species